rnacentral:tRNA from 1 species
AGGCCUGUAGUCUAACGGCAGGACGCUCCGCUCGCUCCGGAGAAAUCCGGGUUCGAAUCCCGGCAGGUCCA